rnacentral:rRNA from 1 species
GUGAACGCUGGCGGUAGGCCUAACCCAUGCCAGUCGAACGGCAGCACAGUAAGAGCUUGCUCUUCCGGGUGGCGAGUGGCGGACGGGUGAGGAAUACAUCGGAAUCUACUUUUUCGUGGGGGAUAACGUAGGGAAACUUACGCUAAUACCGCAUACGACCUACGGGUGAAAGCAGGGGAUCUUCGGACCUUGCGCGAUUGAAUGAGCCGAUGUCGGAUUAGCUAGUUGGCGGGGUAAAGGCCCACCAAGGCGACGAUCCGUAGCUGGUCUGAGAGGAUGAUCAGGCACAUUGGAACUGAGACACGGUCCAGACUCGUACGGGAGGCAGCAGUGGGUAAUAUGGGACAAGGGGCGCAAGCCUGAUCCAGCCAUACCGCGUGGGUGAAGAAGGCCUUCGGGUUGUAAAGCCCUUUUGUUGGGAAAGAAAAGCAGCAGGUUAAGACCCCGCUGUUCUGACGGUACCCAAAGAAUAAGCACCGGCUAACUUCGU